ensembl:lncRNA
ACACGUGACUGGCUCAGGGGGUGCACUGGGCGGAGUGACCACUGCCUGUGCCGUUUCAGAAUUACAGCUGGCUUUCAGCACCAAGCUUCUCCCUCUCCAGCCCGGGAGCAAGACUGCUGAGCAGACACAGGAAGCGACAGAGAACUACGGAGAAGCCCCAGGGACAGGAAGGCACUUUGGAGGUGAUGGCAGCAACACCAUUUCAAGUGAUGACAGAUACUGCAGAAGGAGGACGGCCCUCUGGUUCAGUGGUUAAGAAGCUGCCCGUGGUGCAGGGGCCGUGGGUUCAACCCUUGGUCUGCGAAGAGUCCACAUGCACCUGGGCACCACACAGGCCAAAGCCGCAGUCCUCGAGCCCACGCUCCGCAGCAGGAGCCCCACUGGGGAGACACCUGGGCACUGCGACCGGAGUGGUCCCACGCGCUGCAACCAGACCCCGUGCAGCCGCAGAGGAAAACAGAAACAUAGGUGUAAGAUUCUACUGCCAGAUUACAACAAAAACACGUGCUUUACUAAAGAACAACAGAGGAGAAAACACGGCAAUCCCUCUUCCACUCUCUUAAGCUCACCGACAGAAAGAUGUACUCGGUCUUCAGAGCGACUCCGGACCACCACCAUGCAUCUGCUUCUGUAAAAGCGCCCUCCAACCCAACACUCACUGUUUCGCUUCUUCCCAAAACCAAUGGAAGAGUGAAGGUGGGGAGACCGGAUGAUUAUUAUUUUUCCUUUACACAGGAGCCAGAACUAAAUCUGGGAACGCUGUUACAGUAACCAACGUAUACACUCAAUCGACACACCUACCCAACCACUAUACCUGCUGCAAUUACCAGGUGAAGGCUGCCACUCCCUGAGCACUGACCACGCGCUGGGCCCUGCUCCGAGUGUCACGUGGAUCCAUGAGGCUCGCACGUGCAGCCAUCCCAACCCCACGCCCCGUCUGCCUAGUUCAGGGAACAGAGCCUGCUCGCGUGCACUCAACCCAGCAUUUUAACCAGCAAGAACUGUGUGAGAGACGGCGUGACACAGUAGAGGGAGAGUCAGCCACGGCCAAGAACUUCCUCUCUUUCCUUAAGGAGUUUAUAAUCCAUGGAACGACCAAAAAGUCGGAAAGAAAAAACAGCUGAGUGGGGCAGCCUCAAGCACCGUGUGAGCAGACAGUGAGGAGCUGAUUCUGAAAGUCAGAGGAAGCUUCUUUCAUAGACGCAGCGGCACUGAAGUCAAGCCUUCGGUAUCAAGGAUUCUGCUAAGAAGAAAAAAAAAGGCAGAAAAGCCAUUCCAGAGUAAAGAAGUCGGACAAAUAAUCAUGGAAGUGGCCAGAGGUCUAAGUGUCGAAAUACCAGGGGUGAGGGAUGAGCCGACACAAACCUGAGUCUUCCAAAUCCGGACCUGACGGACUCUAAACAAGCACACUCAAAAGCAGUUUACUUUUUAUGAAUAUAAAAAUCUCCAAAAAAUAAACCCACCAAAAAUGUUUUAAACAAAAAGCUGGUAAUCUGCUGGGAAUGCAAUUUUAUUUCAAAGGUAAGGAAUGUCUUAAAACGUGUGCUCCGAUCCCCUCUCCCAAGAGACUGGCUUCAGUCGGCAGUGCUGGCUUUGUGAACCCUCAAAGUUUCAACACACAGGGCAAAAGUGGCUGUUAUUUUUGUAUAAAAAUACCACUUGGUGUUUUAUGAGAGAUCAAAAAUAAUUGAAAAGCAAUAUGCUCAGUAUCUUCAACAUCCUAAAACCUCAUUCCCAGAUUCCCAGUGCCGUGGUUGGUACUGAUGUUUGUUAUUAAAAUACUUUAUAAUAAUAAUAUUCUUCAUAA